rnacentral:sRNA from 1 species
GCGGUCCGCCCACAGGUGGUAUCCCGAAGCCUAAUGAGCACCGCGAUCGGCGGGUCCCUGGAGUGCCGGGCGGCGGUGUCCGUCGCCUUCGCUGAAGUGGAGCGGCGGCUGCGCUCGGGUGGGGCGGCUCAAGCAGCGUUGCAGACGGAGCUGAGCGCUUGCGGGCCCCUGGGCCGCGCUGAAAACCAGGCGGAGCUGUUGGGGGCGCUGCAGGCACUGGUGGGAGGUGUAGUGCAGUAUGAUGGGCAGACGGGAGCGCCGCUAAGCGUGCGACAGCUCUGCGGACUUCUCCUCGGGGGCGGGGGCAACCGCAGCCACUCCACGCCCUACUGCGGGCUUCGUCGGGCGGUGCAGAUUGUCUUGCACAGCCUGGGCCAGAAGUGUUUAAGCUUUUCCCGAGCAGAGACAGUGGCACAGCUGAGGAGCACAGAACCUCAACUGUCUGGUGUGGGUGACCGGCAGUGGUUGUAUCAGACAUGUACCGAGUUCGGCUUCUGGGACACAGACCCCUGGCAUGUGCUAAGUGUAACACAGGCUUUAGGAUCCUCAGAAUCAACUCUUCUUAUCCGCACUGGCUCCCACUGCUUGGACAUGGCACCUGAGAGGCCCUCAGACUCCCCCAGCCUCCGCCUAGGGCGCCAGAACAUCUUCCAGCAGCUACAGACCUGGCUCAAGCUGGCAAAGGAGAGCCAGAUUAAGGGUGAAGUCUGAAUCUCAUACCCUUUCCACUCCCUGCAUGGUCACCUCAGUCCUGGACAUACUUGUUCACUGAACAAAAGAAAGCAGCUUGUUUUGAAAGAAGAAACUCCCAGGAAUUGGAAUUCAGCACCUGUUCCGCACGUAAUUGGCAUGUGUCUGCAAACAUCCUUAUUCCCAACUUAAAGUGCUUUAUUGCAGAGAGUUAUGGAAA